rnacentral:antisense_RNA from 1 species
CGUUAUGGCGGCUGUGCGUCGGAGACCUUCGGGUCUGCCGGUUCCUGGAUCGGUCUUGCACACCAACGCACAGCUGCCACCUCU